GCCAAUGGCCUCAAAUCAUCCCGACGCCGCAAUUUAUGAUACUGCAGAUUCCCCUAAAGUUGACCUGCUCAGAUGAACCUGCGGCAGCCUAACACAUGCAAGUCGAGCGGUUGAGGUAGCUUGCUACCGAUGCAGCGGCGAACGGGUGAGUAAUACAUGGGAAUCUGCCUGGUAGUGGGGGACAACGUUUCGAAAGGAACGCUAAUACCGCAUACGCGCUACGGGGGAAAGGGGGGGAUCUUCGGACCUCUCGCUAUCAGAUGAGCCCAUGUCGGAUUAGCUAGUUGGUGGGGUAAAGGCUCACCAAGGCGACGAUCCGUAACUGGUCUGAGAGGAUGAUCAGUCACACUGGAACUGAGACACGGUCCAGACUCCUACGGGAGGCAGCAGUGGGGAAUAUUGGACAAUGGGCGCAAGCCUGAUCCAGCCAUGCCGCGUGUGUGAAGAAGGCCUUAGGGUUGUAAAGCACUUUCAGUGGGGAGAAAGGUGAUUCACCUAAUACGUGAGUUAAUUGAUGUUACCCACAGAAGAAGCACCGGCUAACUCCGUGCCAGCAGCCGCGGUAAUACGGAGGGUGCAAGCGUUAAUCGGAAUUACUGGGCGUAAAGCGCACGUAGGUGGUUUGUUAAGCUAGCUGUGAAAUCCCCGGGCUCAACCUGGGCACUGCAGUUAGAACUGGCAAGCUAGAGUAGGGUAGAGGGGUGUGGAAUUCCAGGUGUAGCGGUGAAAUGCGUAGAUAUCUGGAGGAACAUCAGUGGCGAAGGCGACACCCUGGACUCAUACUGACACUGAGGUGCGAAACCGUGGAAAGCAAACAGGAUUAGAUACCCUGGUAGUCAAGGGC
rnacentral:rRNA from 1 species